CCUACGGGGGGCAGCAGUGGGGGAUAUUGCACAAUGGGGGGAACCCUGAUGCAGCGACGCCGCGUGUGGGAAGACGGUCCUCUGGAUUGUAAACCCCUGUCCCCAGGGACGAAAAUGACGGUACCUGGGGAGGAAGCUCCGGCUAACUACGUGCCAGCAGCCGCGGUAAUACGGAGGGAGCGAGCGUUGUCCGGAAUUACUGGGGGUAAAGGGAGCGUAGGCGGGGAUGCAAGUUGGGUGGAAAAACUACCGGCUCAACUGGUAGUCGCACUCAAAACUGCAGCUCUUGAGUGAAGUAGAGGCAGGCGGAAUUCCUAGUGUAGCGGUGAAAUGCGUAGAGAUUAGGAGGAACACCAGUGGCGAAGGCGGCCUGCUGGGCUUUUACUGACGCUGAGGCUCGAAAGUGUGGGGAGCAAACAGGAUUAGAUACCCGGGUAGUC
rnacentral:rRNA from 1 species